rnacentral:rRNA from 1 species
CAGUAGCCGCGGUAAUACGAAGGGUGCAAGCGUUAAUCGGAAUUACUGGGCGUAAAGCGUGCGUAGGCGGUGAGUUAAGUCUGCUGUGAAAUCCCCGGGCUCAACCUGGGAAUGGCAGUGGAUACUGGCUCGCUAGAGUGUGUCAGAGGAUGGUGGAAUUCCCGGUGUAGCGGCGAAAUGCGUAGAGAUCGGGAGGAACAUCAGUGGCGAAGGCGGCCAUCUGGGACAACACUGACGCUGAGGCACGAAAGCGUGGGGAGCAAACAGGAUUAGAGACCCGUGUAGUCCCUGUCUCUUAUAC